ACCCUCUGAGGAACAGUGGCUAGGAACACCAUUUCUACCCAUUCCUGACUAAUAUGCCAUUAUGGAUCUGCCACCAUGAAUUUAUCCAGUUCCCUUUU